AGAGUUUGAUCCUGGCUCAGAAUCAACGCUGGCGGCGCGCUUAACACAUGCAAGUCGAACGAGAAAGUGGAGCAAUCCAUGAGUACAGUGGCGUACGGGUGAGUAACACGUGGGUAAUCUACCUCUGGGUGGGGAAUAACCCUGGGAAACUGGGUCUAAUACCGGAUAUGAGCCUCCUCCGCAUGGUGGGGGCUGGAAAGGGUCUCCGGUCGGGGAUGGGCCCGCGUCCUAUCAGCUUGUUGGUGGGGUAACGGCCUACCAAGGCGACGACGGGUAGCCGGCCUGAGAGGGUGUACGGCCACACUGGGACUGAGACACGGCCCAGACUCCUACGGGAGGCAGCAGCGGGGAAUAUUGCGCAAUGGGCGAAAGCCUGACGCAGCGACGCCGCGUGCGGGACGAAGGCCUUCGGGUUGUAAACCGCUUUCAGCAGGGACGAAGCGAAAGUGACGGUACCUGCAGAAGAAGGUCCGGCCAACUACGUGCCAGCAGCGGCGGUAAUAC
rnacentral:rRNA from 1 species